GUCUGAACCAGCCAAGUAGCGUGCAGGAUGACGGCCCUAUGGGUUGUAAACUGCUUUUAUAAGGGAAUAAAGUGAGUCUCGUGAGACUUUUUGCAUGUACCUUAUGAAUAAGGACCGGCUAAUUCCGUGCCAGCAGCCGCGGUAAUACGGAAGGUCCGGGCGUUAUCCGGAUUUAUUGGGUUUAAAGGGAGCGUAGGCCGGAGAUUAAGCGUGUUGUGAAAUGUAGACGCUCAACGUCUGCACUGCAGCGCGAACUGGUUUCCUUGAGUACGCACAAAGUGGGCGGAAUUCGUGGUGUAGCGGUGAAAUGCUUAGAUAUCACGAAGAACUCCGAUUGCGAAGGCAGCUCACUGGAGCGCAACUGACGCUGAAGCUCGAAAGUGCGGGUAUCGAACAGGAUUAGAUACCCUGGUAGUCCGCACGGUAAACGAUGGAUGCCCGCUGUUGGUCUGAAUAGGUCAAGCGGCCAAGCGAAAGCAUUAAGCAUCCCACCUGGGGAGUACGCCGGCAACGGUGAAACUCAAAGGAAUUGACGGGGGGCCCGCACAAGCGGAGGAACAUGUGGUUUAAUUCGAUGAUACGCGAGGAACCUUACCCGGGCUUGAAUUGCAGAGGAAGGAUUUGGAGACAAUGACGCCCUUCGGGGUCUCUGUGAAGGUGCUGCAUGGUUUGUC
rnacentral:rRNA from 1 species